AACGAACGCUGGCGGCGUGCUUAACACAUGCAAGUCGAACGGGAUCCAGAGCUUGCUCUGGUGAGAGUGGCGCACGGGUGAGUAACGCGUGGAUAACCUGCCCUGGUAUCUGGAAUAACAUCUCGAAAGGGGUGCUAAUACCGGAUAAGCCCACGAGGUCUUCGGACUUUGCGGGAAAAGGUGGCUUCGGCUACCGUAUCAGGAUGGGUCCGCGUACCAUUAGCUAGUUGGCGGGGUAAUGGCCCACCAAGGCGACGAUGGUUAGCUGGUCUGAGAGGAUGAUCAGCCACACCGGAACUGAGACACGGUCCAGACUCCUACGGGAGGCAGCAGUGGGGAAUUUUGCGCAAUGGGGGAAACCCUGACGCAGCAACGCCGCGUGAGUGAUGAAGGCCUUCGGGUCGUAAAGCUCUGUCAGUAGGGAAGAAAAGAAUGUGGUUAAUACCCACAUUCCCUGACGGUACCUACAAAGGAAGCACCGGCUAACUCCGUGCCAGCAGCCGCGGUAAUACGGAGGGUGCAAGCGUUGUUCGGAUUUAUUGGGCGUAAAGCGCGUGUAGGCGGUUUCUUAAGUCUGAUGUGGAAGCCCCGGGCUCAACCCGGGAAGUGCAUUGGAUACUGGGAGACUUGAAUACGGGAGAGGGUAGUGGAAUUCCUAGUGUAGGAGUGAAAUCCGUAGAUAUUAGGAGGAACACCGGUGGCGAAGGCGGCUACCUGGACCGAUAUUGACGCUGAGACGCGAAAGCGUGGGGAGCAAACAGGAUUAGAUACCCUGGUAGUCCACGCCGUAAACGAUGAGAACUAGGUGUUGCGGGUAUUGACCCCUGCAGUGCCGCAGCUAACGCAUUAAGUUCUCCGCCUGGGAAGUACGGUCGCAAGACUAA
rnacentral:rRNA from 1 species